CCUACGGGAGUCAGCAGUGGGGGAUAUUGCACAAUGGGGGGAACCCUGAUGCAGCGACGCCGCGUGUGGGAAGACGGUCCUCUGGAUUGUAAACCACUGUCCCCAGGGACGAAAAUGACGGUACCUGGGGAUGCCGCUCCGGCUAACUACGUGCCAGCAGCCGCGGUAAUACGUAGGGAGCGAGCGUUGUCCGGAAUUACUGGGUGUAAAGGGAGCGUAGGCGGGGAUGGAAGUUGGGUGUCAAAACUACUUGCUCAACUGGUAGUCGCACUCAAAACUGCAGCUCUUGAGUGAAGUAGAGGCAGGCGGAAUUCCUAGUGUAGCGGUGAAAUGCGUAGAUAUUAGGAGGAACACCAGUGGCGAAGGCGGCCUGCUGGGCUUUGACUGACGCUGAGGCUCGAAAGUGUGGGGAGCAAACAGGAUUAGAUACCCGAGUAGUC
rnacentral:rRNA from 1 species